GGCACGCUUCGGCCCCCACAGCGAAACCUAGCUCUCUUUCCCCUCGACCCCCACAGCGCAGUGCAUCACCACUCCUUCCUCCCUCAUCAGCCGCCGCCGGGUCUUCUUGCUGGGGUGGAAGAGUAGGGGAUCCGGCCGAAUCCGAGGCGUGCGGGCCUGGUGGCGGGCAUCUUUGGCAGGGGCAGCGGCGGGCCUGGUGGCGGGCAUCUUUGGCAGCGGCGGCGGCGGGCAUCUCCGGCAAAAGGCGAUGGCGGGGAUGCUCGAUUCGCCAUGGACCGGUCCCUACAGGAGAGAGAAAGAAAGAGAGGAGGGAGAAAGCGAGAGGAAAGAGGAGAGGGAGGUGCGACGGCGGGCGGGAGAGGGUCUCCGGCCGGUGCGAGACAUUCACGUCUCUCCUCCUCUCCUGCUCUCGACCACCACCGUGGCCCUCCUUCUCCCCUUCAAUUCCCUGUCUCCUCUUCUCUAGAGUUACCUGAGUGGUCAACACCGAGAAAGAUGGGGAAGACAGAGCCAGCGAGGAAGACGGCUUGACUCUGCCACCGAUGCUGACCGGCCAAUUCCGUCGGGCGUUGUCAUGGGAGGAGGCGAACCAUCGAGGAGCAGCACGGGAGGAGAUAAGAUAAGCCGCCGGAAUCCCUGUUCACUUCUGGUUGCAUCUUGCCCGUGAGCUCCUUCUUCUUACAGCCAGCUUGGCCCUUUUCUUGCCAUGUUUUGGGUGAUGCAGGGUAUCAAGCAGGCGAUGGCGAGGAUCAGAUGCGGUAGCAGCUGAAGGAGUCAUGGAGAGGGGGCGAGAGUGAGCAGCGGCUGCCGGCCAAGAAGGAAGAGGCUGGGGCGAGGACCGGAGGAGGAGGUGCUCAUGGUGGAGCAUAGGAGGACGGAGGCGGAGUGCUGCUGCAACGGCUGUGGGACUGGGCGAAAGGUGUAGAGGGCCACAAUGAGGCAGACGACAGUGGAUGGCAACAAUAGGUGUUGGCGGAUGCUCCGAGACCAUGAAGAGCCUAUUCAAUGGUAUGAGAAGGAUGACAUGGAGAUGGAGGAUUCCGACAUGGCACCUCCCGUAAUCGCGCAGUUGGAGAGCAUGCAUGAGACCACUACUUCUUGCCUUCCAGUAAUUUUAAUAUUAUAGGAAUGGAGAAGUAGAAGUUGAGGGGAAGCUACUGCAUGCUGGAAAAUCAGUUGGUGUUGUCUAUGUUGGUUUCAGGAAGAAAAGUACUAUCAAAUUGAUGGCUCAGGCACGUCAUACAAAGUACCUUGCUGUAUCUAGCAGAUUGCGAGGAUUCCCUUCUGUUGUAAGAUAAAAACCUGGUUAUAUGUUGCAUCCCAAAAUCAAGAUGUUGAUUCGAGAAGAGAAUGCUUUCAAAGAUGUGAGAGUGCAACUUCAUAUAAUUUGAAGUUAAUUGUACAUGUACUUAAAUGGAAGCAUCUAUUGGCCCCUCGAACACUUGACAUAGGCACAUUCAAAAUAGAUUAUCUCUUAUGACUCAUGAUCAGUCACCUCUUGGAAAGCUGAGGCACCAUUUCUAAAUUGUUUAGCAUCCACGAAUUUGGCGAUCGUGAUCUUUCUUGCCUAGGUGACCUGCUCCCAGUCAUUCUUCCCUCCCCUAUGAUCUCUCUCUAUGAAGUUUCAAAUUUGUUUUGGUCAAAUUUGAUAUGAAUCUUUGGUAAAACAAUCAACAGAAAUCUGACAAUAUUGCUGACAAGAACGAACAAAUGUUGGACGAUUUGCUGUGUUCCUGCAUUUCUUUGCUGCUGCUCAAGAUGUGAUUGUAAAUGGCAUUAAGAAUGAAUAGAUCCGACUCGAGGAUGGCAUGGUUGAUGUAUGCAACCAUGGGAGUGUAAGCUUAGUCUGGUCGCCAUCACCAGAGUGAUGUGAAACAAGGUUUUCAGGGAACUAUUUUGAAAGACAUGUGUUUACAGAACACAUGUUUCAUCGUCUUCUCUUUUUCAUGAGUUAUUGAACAGAUCUUAUGAAGCUUGAUUGAUAGUGUUUCAACUCAGAUGAAGUGGUCUGGACGAUCAGGUUUUGCAGAUCCUGGAGAUCGUUAUACCUUUUGUACAAUGCACUGUUCUGGAUUCAAAUUGACUGUGAGUGUUGCAUGCCUUUGUAUUGUGUUGCUGAACCUCACUAAGUUUCUCAAUGUCCAAGUCUUUUGUUCUUAGAAAAACUAUUUUGUUGCAUCCACAUUAACCAUAUGUAUUUACAUUUUCACUUUUGAAUUGUAAAAUAAAGCCCUUAUUGGUAAACA